rnacentral:misc_RNA from 1 species
GUUGAAGUAGAUGGUUGCUGAUUCAUCAUUGAGGAAAAAAAAAUAAAGUUUGUGUGAAGUGUGAACCUGACCCAACAAAGAAGGAUUUUAAAGGGUCAAGCACUGGUGGAUAAAGUGCAAAUCCUCCACGAGAACAAAUGAAUUUCUAAGAAAAUCUGCUGUGGUUUCAAGUGAAGAAACCUUAUAUGCUAUCAAAAGCAAUACUGUUUUGCUUUUUCGAUAUCUUCCUCCUCAUCUGCCACAUUAGUACUGUUUUCCAAGCCAAGAAGCUCUUCUUAUUUGUUGUGGAAAGUCAAUCACUAUAUUAU